rnacentral:rRNA from 1 species
AUGUCCUCUCCUUUCCAACCUCCAGCACCUCGACUCGCCGACAUGGCAGCGGAAGAAGGGGACGGGGAGGAGGAGAAGACGAUCGUCGUCGGAGCUGGAGACACGGCGGCGGAGGAGAUCGUCGCCGGGGCAGACGAGGAGGAGGAGAUGCACGGCGGCUGGGACGGUGGCCAUGGAGGAGGCGACGGUAUGUUCCGUCCCCCGCCGGGGUUCCGGUUCAUGCCGACCGAGGACGAGAUGAUCAGGUACUACCUGCUCCCCAAGCUCCAGGGCAGGGCGUACGUCCCCAACAACGCCAUCAUCGAGGACACCGUCUACCAGUGCCACCCGGACGGGCUCACAAGCAAGUACAUGGACCGGGGCCAGGCCGGCAGAAGCUUCUACUUCCUGUCGCCGAGGGAGCGCAAGUACAAGAACGGGGCGAGGCCGCGGCGGGACACCAAGGACCGCCUCGGGCGGUGGAAGGCGUCGACGGGCAAGACGGACGAGAGGGGCGGCGGCGACGUCCGCAAGGAGGAGAGAGUGGCCGGCGACGGCACCACCAAGUACUGCAAGAGCGGCCUCGCCUACUUCUACUUCCGGGGCCGCGGGGAGAAGGAGAAGAAGUCCGGCUGGCUCAUGCAGGAGCUCACCGUCCCGGAGUACGAGAUCAAGCUCCCCGAGAAGGGCGGCCCUGGCGGACCCACGUUGGACAGAUACGUGAUGUACAAGAUUUACCCGGCGCCGGUCGGCAGAAAAAAACGGAACAAUGACGAUGAGGCAGGCCCCAGCAACGCCGAGCUGGUGGAGAGCGACGACGAAGGGGAGACGGCGGAGCUUCCUCCAAAGCUCUCGGAGAAACAGGCGGGCAAGAGGCCCGUGUCGGAGGGCCAGCAGCUGCGCAACCCCGCCGCCGCGAAGAAGAAGCGGGGUCACCGCUCAAACCGCCUGCAAACCGACGGCAUGCAAGCUCCAUUCGGGAUGAUGGAAUACCACGAUGGAUCAGGGCAGCCCAUGGGGUAUCAAGCUGGCGCACCGACGCCGGUGCCAUACAACAACGGCCAGGUGCAGGCACCGCGGCAGCAGGUGGCGUACAACGGUCAGGUGCCGAUGAUGACAUCGCAAACGGCGUACAACGGUCAGAUGCCGGUGACGCAGCAGCAGGGGGCGUACAACGGUCAGGUGCCGAUGAUGACACGGCAACCGGCGGCGUACAACGGGCAGAUGCCGGUGCCGCAGCAGCAGCAGGUGGCGUUCGACUGGCAGGUGCGGCCGCCGCCGUACGGUCAGAACCAGACAAUGGUGACGCGGCCUUCGUGCCCGGCCGGCCAAGCAGCGAACCCGCCGCCGGUCGUCCCUCAGAUGCAGAAGCAGCCAGAGACGGAUGAGAUGCUCGAGAAGCGGGUGCUUGAACAAAACCUGGAGGAAUACCUCUGGAUGCAGCAGCAGAUGGCGGUCAUGAUGCACCAGAAGCAGCAAUGGACGAUGGCGUUCAUGAUGCAGCAGCAGCAGACGUACUUCGGCGGCUCCAACGCCGAUUGCCAUCCCGACGCGGGGGCCAAGGCCCCUCAGUUCUCGCUCGACGAGUUCCUCGCCAGCGUGGCCGCGGAGCACUACGAGCGCAGUCGGGCGGUGCCCCCGGCGACGAGCGGCUCCCCAGGAGAGGCGGCGCCGGUGAACGCCGAGGGUUCGCCGGACAGCACGGUGGUGUCUGCGGUGGGAGGCGGGGACGGCAACAACGGCAACCAUGACCGGGCGGAGUCUGCCGCUGCGACGGCUUCGCCGGGUGGGAGCGGGAGCGCGUCCGCAGAGGGCGAGAUGGCCCCCGACAUGGUUGGGCCCAGUGAUCGGUGCUCAAUUCUGUGA